rnacentral:rRNA from 1 species
GACGAACGCUGGCGGCGUGCUUAACACAUGCAAGUCGAACGGCAAGGCCCUGCUUUUGUGUGUUGCUCUAGUGGCGAACGGGUGAGUAACACGUGCGUAUCCUGCCCUUGCCUUUGGGAUAACUUCACGAAACUGGGGCUAAUUCCUGCUAGGAGCUCCUACUGCUUGGUGUGGGUUGGAAAGGUUCGGCGGUUGGGGAUGGACUCGCGGCUUAUCCGCUGGUUGGUGGGGUAGUGGAUUACCAAGGCUUUCACGGGUAGCCGGCCUGAGAGGGUGACCGGCAAAAUGGGGACAGAGAUACGGGAGGGAGUAGUAAGGGAGGCAGGAGUGGGGAAGAGAGCAUAAAGGGGGGAAGCCGGAUGAAGGAAGGCCGUGUGAGGGAUGACGGCCUUCGGGUUGUAAACAGCUUUAGCAGGUGAGGAAGAGUGAGUGAAGGUAAUGGAUAAAGAAGCACCGGCUAACUACGUG